GGUAUUAGCAAAUACUCAAGUGAGAACCUUGAGGACUGAAGUGGAGAAGGGUUCCAUGUGAACAGCAGUUGAACAUGGGUCAGUGGGUCCUUAGGGAAAGGAGAAAUCCUUUCAGAAGCGGGGUCGCGUUUGUGCAGCUCAGUCUGUGAAUCGGAGACGCCCCGCUGCAACCAAAAGGGAAUCGGGUUAACAGUCCAAACACGUCUCAAAUAACUGCGGUGAGAUGAUAACUCCUUGUG
rnacentral:rRNA from 1 species